GGUCCGGCUAAUUACGUGCCAGCAGCCGCGGUAAUACGUAAGGACCGAGCGUUGUCCGGAAUCAUUGGGCGUAAAGAGUACGUAGGCGGUAUGAUAAGUUAGGAGUAAAAGGCACCGGCUCAACCGGCGUAAGCUUUUAAAACUGUCAUACUUGAGACAUUGAGGGGAAAGUGGAAUUUCUAGUGUAGCGGUGAAAUGCGCAGAUAUUAGGAAGAAUACCAGAGGCGAAAGCGACUUUCUAGCGAUGAUCUGACGCUGAGGUACGAAAGCGUGGGAAGCAAACAGGAUUAGAUACCCUGGUAGUCCACGCUGUAAACGGUGGGUACUAGGUGUGGGAUCCAUUCCACGGAUUCUGUGCCGUAGCUAACGCAUUAAGUACCCCGCCUGGGGAGUACGGCCGCA
rnacentral:rRNA from 1 species